UGCACGUUUCCAGUAGGUAAGGAUUACAUAUGUUCAUCUUUGUUCUUAUAUGGGAAAAUUUCCCAAAAAUAAAAAAAUGGCAGCAACGUAUAAGACAUAGGGAAAUAUCUAUCUAUAUAUAUUCCCUUCUCAACGAGAAGGAAGGGGAAGCAAUGAGAAUGGAAGCAACAAUGAAAAAAUAAUAAUAAUAGGCAGCAACGUUGUUGCGUUUAUUUUGAAGGUGAUAUCCGUAGCUGUAGCAGCAAUGUAAUAUUCCCUAUAUACUACAACCUGUAGAGUUCAAGAAGAUCAAAGUCUCAUUAUAUUCGGGUUUUAUUCACCAUUUCGAUCUCGUUAUUCCGUUUUAUCGCGUUGUUGAAUUCGGGCUUUCUUCGAAGUGAAGUAAUGUUGAAGAAGAGUAUUUCUUGGAAUAUAAGAUUGGUGAAGCCCGAGACCUAAGUUAUGGUUAACUUGAGAAGCGACAAGAUACAGAUAGUCGGUUUGGUGACCCUUCAGCAUAGGACUUGUACUCAGCUGUCUUGGAGAUCUCCGUUGUUCCGGAGUCUAGACUUUUGAUUCAGAUCUUAUGAUAUAUAUGUAUAUGUUUACUCAGGGGCACAGCGGGGCCCUGUUCCGUCAUAUUUCGCUAUCGAUACUCUUAGAGGUCUGUAGACAUAUGGGUGGGUUGUGUAUAAGUUCUGUUCGGCUGUGUCUAUACGAUGUGCUAUAAUAUGAUGUCUCUCUGUAGUGGCAGCCUUGUCGGCUUGCAUAUGACAUGAUAUUGAUGUGUAGUGGCA